rnacentral:lncRNA from 1 species
UUUCUCUUCCCAUUCGUCCGUUGGCGUCUGGGCGUGGUUUCUCUUCCCAUUCGUCUGUUGGCGUCUGGUCGUGGUUUCUUUCUCCCAUUCAUCCAUUGAUGUUUGGUCGAGUUCCUUCCCAGUCAUCGGUAAAUGUCUGGUCGUACUUUCUUUUGGUGUCGGUAAACAUCAUCUUUCGAUGUCGGUAAACGUCGAGUUUUUUCCCAUUCGUCCGUUG